UACGGAGGGUGCAAGCAUUAAUCGGAUUUAUUGGGCGUAAAGGGCGCGUAGGCGGGAUGAAAAGUCUGAUGUGAAAUACCGGGGCUCAACCUCGGUGCUGCAUUAGAAACUUUCAUACUAGAGGGAUGGCGGAGAAAACGGAAUUCCAAGUGUAGCGGUGAAAUGCGUAGAUAUUUGGAAGAACACCGGUGGCGAAGGCGGUUUUCUAGCUAUUACCUGACGCUGAGGCGCGAGAGCAAGGGGAGCAAACAGG
rnacentral:rRNA from 1 species